rnacentral:rRNA from 1 species
AGCGAACGCUGGCGGCAGGCCUAACACAUGCAAGUCGAACGAACUCUUCGGAGUUGGUGGCGGUCGGGGGAGUCACACGUGGGAACGUGCCUUUUUGCUCGGAAUACUUCAGGGAAAUUUGUGCUAACACCGAAUGUGUCCUUCUGGGGAAGGAUUUAUCGCAAUUAGAGCGGCGCGCGUCUGUUUAGCUAGUUGGUGAGGUAACGGCGCACCACGGCUAGGCUCAGUAGCUGGUCUGAGAGAAAGACCAGCGACACUGGGACUGGGCAGCGGCCCAGACUCCUACGGGAGGCAGCAGUGGGGAAUCUAGCGAAAUGGGGGAAAGGAUGACGGAGCCAGGCUGGGUGAAUGAUGAAGGUCUUAGGAAAGUAAAAUUCUUUAACCGGGGACGAUAAUGACGGUACCCGGAGAAGAAGCCCCGGCUAACUUCGUG